UACGAAGGGGGCUAGCGUUGCUCGGAAUCACUGGGCGUAAAGGGCGCGUAGGCGGAUCUUUAAGUCGGGGGUGAAAGCCCAGGGCUCAACCCUGGAAUUGCCUUCGAUACUGAAGAUCUCGAGACCGGAAGAGGUAAGUGGAACUGCGAGUGUAGAGGUGAAAUUCGUAGAUAUUCGCAAGAACACCAGUGGCGAAGGCGGCUUACUGGUCCGGUUCUGACACUGAGGAGCGAAAGCGUGGGGAGCGAUCCGG
rnacentral:rRNA from 1 species